AUAGCCUUUCGAAAGAAAGAUUAAUACCGGAUAGCAUACGAAUAUCGCAUGAUAUUUUUAUUAAAGAAUUUCGGUUAUCGAUGGGGAUGCGUUCCAUUAGUUUGUUGGCGGGGUAACGGCCCACCAAGACUACGAUGGAUAGGGGUUCUGAGAGGAAGGUCCCCCACAUUGGAACUGAGACACGGUCCAAACUCCUACGGGAGGCAGCAGUGAGGAAUAUUGGUCAAUGGGCGAGAGCCUGAACCAGCCAAGUAGCGUGAAGGAUGAAGGCUCUAUGGGUCGUAAACUUCUUUUAUAUGGGAAUAAAGUAUUCCACGUGUGGAAUUUUGUAUGUACCAUAUGAAUAAGGAUCGGCUAACUCCGUGCCAGCAGCCGCGGUAAUACGGAGGAUCCGAGCGUUAUCUGGAUUUAUUGGGUUUAAAGGGAGCGUAGGUGGAUUGUUAAGUCAGUUGUGAAAGUUUGCGGCUCAACCGUAAAAUUGCAGUUGAAACUGGCAGUCUUGAGUACAGUAGAGGUGGGCGGAAUUCGUGGUGUAGCGGUGAAAUGCUUAGAUAUCACGAAGAACUCCGAUUGCGAAGGCAGCUCACUAGACUGUUACUGACACUGAUGCUCGAAAGUGUGGGUAUCAAACAGGAUUAGAUACCCUGGUAGUCCACACAGUAAACGAUGAAUACUCGCUGUUUGCGAUAUACAGUAAGCGGCC
rnacentral:rRNA from 1 species